AUUGAACGCUGGCGGCAGGCUUAACACAUGCAAGUCGAACGAGUGGCGGACGGGUGAGUAAUGUUUGGGAAUCUAGCUUAUGGCGGGGGAUAACUACGGGAACCUGGACCUAAUACCGCGUACCAUAGGGUGGGCCCACGGGGGCUUAGGUAGUUGGUGGGGUAAAGGGGCACCAAGCCGACGAUCCCUAGCUGGUCUGAGCGGAUGACCACCGACACUGGAACUGAGACACGGCCCAGACGCCUACGGGAGGCAGCAGUGGGGAAUAUGGCGCAAUGGGGGCAACCUGACGCAGCCAUGCCGCGUGAAUGAAGAAGGCCUUCGGGGUGUAAAGUUCUUUCUGUAGCGAGGCGUUAACUGCAGAAGAAGCACCGGCUAACUCCGUGCCAGCAGCCGCGGUAAUUC
rnacentral:rRNA from 1 species